GCAUAUCAAUAAGCGGAGGAAAAGAAACCAACAGGGAUUGCCUCAGUAACGGCGAGUGAAGCGGCAAGAGCUCAAAUUUGAAAGCUGGCCCCCUCGGGGUCCGCAUUGUAAUUUGCAGAGGAUGCUUCGGGAGUGGCCCCCAUCUAAGUGCCCUGGAACGGGCCGUCAUAGAGGGUGAGAAUCCCGUCUGGGAUGGGGUGCCCACGCCCGUGUGAAGCUCCUUCGACGAGUCGAGUUGUUUGGGAAUGCAGCUCUAAAUGGGUGGUAAAUUUCAUCUAAAGCUAAAUACUGGCCGGAGACCGAUAGCGCACAAGUAGAGUGAUCGAAAGAUGAAAAGCACUUUGAAAAGAGAGUUAAACAGCACGUGAAAUUGUUGAAAGGGAAGCGCUUGCGACCAGACUCGCCCACGGGGUUCAGCCGGCAUUCGUGCCGGUGUACUUCCCCGCGGGCGGGCCAGCGUCGGUUUGGGCGGCCGGUCAAAGGCCCUUGGAAUGUACCGCCCCCCGGGGCGGCUUAUAGCCAAGGGUGCCAUGCGGCCAGCCCGGACCGAGGAACGCGCUUCGGCUCGGACGCUGGCAUAAUGGUCGUAAGCGACCCGUCUUGAACCACGG
rnacentral:rRNA from 1 species